GACGAACGCUGGCGGCGCGCUUAACACAUGCAAGUCGAGCGAAGCGGCGGACGGGUGAGUAACUCGUGAGUAACCUGCCUUAGACAUUGGCAUAGCCUCGGGAAACCGGGAUUAAUCCAAACUGGUCUAAGAGGUACUCGCGUCCCAUUAGCUAGUUGGUGGGUAACGGCCCAACAAGGAGACGAUGGGUAGCCUGCCUGAGAGGGUGAACGGACACAUUGCAACUGGGAAACGGUCCAAACUCUACGGGAGGCAGCAGUGGCGAAUAUUGCACAAUGGAGGGAACUCUGAUGCAGCGACGCCGCGUGAACGAAGAAGGCUUUCGAGUCGUAAAGUUCUUUUAUAUGGGAAGCGGUACCAAAAGAAAAAGCCCCGGCUAACUACGUGCCAGCAGCCGCGGUAAUAC
rnacentral:rRNA from 1 species